rnacentral:lncRNA from 1 species
GCAGAGCCAGUUGUUCCAUCUUGUUCGAAAAAAGAUGGAUGGUUAUUUUGGCCAAUUUGUGUUAAUGCAAUGAAAGCUACCUAUAAUAAUUUUCCAGUCGUUGAUUCCUGCAACAAGAUUAGACUUAAAAGAGUUAAAGUAACUCGAGGUCAUUAAAUUUUAUGAUAAAGAAGUAUGUGCAGAAUUUAAUUUCACAAGAGGACUCCAAAGAAGAGGACUAAAGAGGACUCCAAAGAAGAAUUUCUGGUGGAUCAAGAUUGAGGAAUGAAUUGGUUUUAACUGGUUUGCAUCUUAUGAACGAAGUACAUAAUAUGAUUUAACUUGAUGAUUUAUAGUUACACCU